rnacentral:RNase_P_RNA from 1 species
AGUUGACUGGGCAAUCGCUGCUGAAACACGUGCGCUAAGGCAUACGGUUUUGGGGGAGGAAAGUCCGGGCUCUAUAGGACAAGGUGCCAGGUAACGCCUGGGGGGUGUGAACCCACGACCAGUGCAACAGAGAGCAGACCGCCGAUGGCCGUAAGGUACAGGUAAGGGUGAAAGGGUGCGGUAAGAGCGCACCGCGCUUCUAGCAAUAGUAAGCGGCACGGUAAACUCCACCUAGAGCAAGAUCAAAUAGGCCUCCGUAUAAUGUGGUCCGCAUUUGGGGGCGGGUCGAUUGCUGGAGCUUAUUCGCGAGGGUAAGCCUAGAUGAAUGAUUGCCACUUAGAAAUAAGUACAGAACCCGGCUUAUAAGUCAACUCA